rnacentral:rRNA from 1 species
UUCCGGUUGAUCCUGCCGGACCCUACUGCUAUCGGGGGAGGACUAAAACAUGCAAGUCGUGCGCCUCCAAGCCAUGGUGGAGACGCGGCAUACGGCUCAGUAACACGUGGCUAACCCACCCUUGAGACGGAGAAAACCCCGGGAAACUGGGGCUAAUCCCCGAUAAGAGAAGACACCUGGAACGGGUCUCCUCUCAAAAGGCGCCUAUACCAUGCUUUUAGGCGCUGCUCAAGGACGGGGCCGCGGCCGAUCAGGUUGUCGGUGAGGCAACGGCUCACCAAGCCUAUAACCGGUACGGGCCGUGAGAGCGGGAGCCCGGAGAUGGGCACUGAGACAAGGGCCCAGGCCCUACGGGGCGCAGCAGUUGCGAAAACUCCGCAAUGCACGAAAGUGUGACGGGGCUACCCCGAGUGCCGUCCGCUGAGGGCGGCUUUUCCCCGGUGUAAGGAGCCGGGGGAAUAAGGAGAGGGCAAGUCUGGUGUCAGCCGCCGCGGUAAUACCAGCUCUCCGAGUGGUAGGGAUGAUUAUUGGGCUUAAAGCGUCCGUAGCCGGCCCGGCAAGUCUUCCGUUAAAUCCAACGAUUCAAUCGUCGGACUGCGGGAGAUACUGUUGGGCUAGGAGGCGGGAGAGGCCGACGGUAUUCUCGGGGUAGGGGUAAAAUCCUAUAAUCCCGGGAAGACCACCAGUGGCGAAGGCGGUCGGCUAGAACGCGCUCGACGGUGAGGGACGAAAGCUGGGGGAGCGAACCGGAUUAGAUACCCGGGUAGUCCCAGCUGUAACGAUGCGGGCUAGGUGUUGGGGCGGCUACGGGCCGCUUCAGUGCCGCAGGGAAACCGUUAAGCCCGCCGCCUGGGGAGUACGGCCGCAAGG